AUGCUGCAGGAAGGAGAAGAACCGAGGCUGUUACUGCAAGCAGCCUACCUUCUGAGCUUUAAAAUACAGUAAAAUAUCAGGAGAUACCUCCCAUAUAAUGCUAUAGAAUGCUCAUUGUUGAGUGUUUUAGAAAUAGAGAAAUAUUUAGAAAAAUGGAAGAUGCAGAGGGGAUAUAAUGUAUUUGUGAAAACCAGAUUUCAAACAUACCACAUAUUGAUUUGACAACUCUCUACAUUACUCAGUACUCACCACGAGAAGACAUCUUGUAUCUACUACAUACCUCUGGCCACAGGUCACUCCCACAACAGUAGCCGUUCAAAGAUGGACAAAGCUGCCCCUUGAU